rnacentral:rRNA from 1 species
AACGAACGCUGGCGGCAUGCCUAACACAUGCAAGUCGAACGCUAACUUCGCGUCGGUGGGCGCACGGGUGCGUACGGGGGGGGAACCUGCCCUCAGGCUGCGACUAACUCUGCGAAAGGGGCACGAAUACGGGGCAAUUUCUUGGGACGAACGAUGUAUCGCCGUUGGAUGGGUGCGAAUUGGUUUAGCCGGUGGGUAGGGUAACAGCCUACCAAGGCGAGGAUGCAGAGCUGGUCUGAGAGGAUGAUCAACCACACUGGGACUGAGACACGGCCCAGACUGCGACGGAAGGGAGCAGUGUGGAAUACUAGAGAAGGGGCGAAGGCGUAAUGCAGCCGUGUCGGGGAAGUGAGGAAGGCGUUAGGGUUGUAAAGCUCUUUUACCCGAGAUGAUAGUGACGGUACCGGGAGAAUAAGCUCCGGCUAACUACGUG